UACGUAGGUGACAAGCGUUGUCCGGAUUUACUGGGCGUAAAGAGCGCGCAGGCGGUCGUCAAGUCGAGUGUGAAAGCCCCCGGCUCAACUGGGGAGGGUCAUUCGAUACUGAUCGACUCGAAGGCAGGAGAGGGAAGUGGAAUUCCCGGUGUAGUGGUGAAAUGCGUAGAUAUCAAGAGGAACACCUGAGGUGAAGACGGGUUGCUGGGCCAGCACUGACGCUGAGGCGCGAAAGCCAGGGGAGCAGACGGG
rnacentral:rRNA from 1 species